rnacentral:rRNA from 1 species
AAAGAUGGCUUUGGCUAUCACUCUGGGAUGGACCUGCGGUGCAUUAGCUAGUUGGUAAGGUAACGGCUUACCAAGGCGAUGAUGCAUAGCCGAGUUGAGAGACUGAUCGGCCACAAUGGAACUGAGACACGGUCCAUACUCCUACGGGAGGCAGCAGUAGGGAAUCUUCCACAAUGGGCGCAAGCCUGAUGGAGCAACACCGCGUGAGUGAAGAAGGGUUUCGGCUCGUAAAGCUCUGUUGUUGGAGAAGAACGUGCGUGAGAGUAACUGUUCACGCAGUGACGGUAUCCAACCAGAAAGUCACGGCUAACUACGUGCCAGCAGCCGCGGUAAUACGUAGGUGGCAAGCGUUAUCCGGAUUUAUUGGGCGUAAAGCGAGCGCAGGCGGUUGCUUAGGUCUGAUGUGAAAGCCUUCGGCUUAACCGAAGAAGUGCAUCGGAAACCGGGCGACUUGAGUGCAGAAGAGGACAGUGGAACUCCAUGUGUAGCGGUGGAAUGCGUAGAUAUAUGGAAGAACACCAGUGGCGAAGGCGGCUGUCUGGUCUGCAACUGACGCUGAGGCUCGAAAGCAUGGGUAGCGAGCAGGAUUAGAUACCCUGGUAGUCCAUGCCGUAAACGAUGAGUGCUAGGUGUUGGAGGGUUUCCGCCCUUCA